AGAGUUUGAUCCUGGCUCAGAGUGAACGCUGGCGGCGUGCUUAACACAUGCAAGUCGAACGAGAAAGGGACUUCGGUCCUGAGUAGAGUGGCGCACGGGUGAGUAACGCGUAGGUAAUCUACCUCUGCAUCUGGGAUAACACCCCGAAAGGGAUGCUAAUACCGGAUACACUUAUGGGUCGCAAGACCUAUAAGGAAAGGAGACCUCUCCUUGGAAGUUUCUGUGUAGAGAUGAGCCUGCGUCCCAUUAGCUAGUUGGUAGGGUAAUGGCCUACCAAGGCGACGAUGGGUAGCGGGUCUGAGAGGAUGAUCCGCCACACUGGAACUGAAACACGGACCAGACUCCUACGGGAGGCAGCAGUGAGGAAUAUUGGACAAUGGGCGCAAGCCUGAUCCAGCGACGCCGCGUGAGUGAUGAAGGCCUUUGGGUCGUAAAGCUCUGUCAGCAGGGAAGAACGGCCGUGUGGUUAAUACCCAUGCGGAUUGACGGUACCUGCAGAGGAAGCACCGGCUAACUCCGUGCCAGCAGCCGCGGUAAUAC
rnacentral:rRNA from 1 species